ACCUACGGGGCGCAGCAGUGAGGAAUAUUGGUCAAUGGCCGAGAGGCUGAACCAGCCAAGUCGCGUGAGGGAAGACGGCCCUACGGGUUGUAAACCUCUUUUGUCGGGGAGCAAAGAGAGUCACGUGUGACUCAUUGAGAGUACCCGAAGAAAAAGCAUCGGCUAACUCCGUGCCAGCAGCCGCGGUAAUACGGAGGAUGCGAGCGUUAUCCGGAUUUAUUGGGUUUAAAGGGUGCGUAGGCGGUCCGUUAAGUCAGCGGUAAAAUUGCGGGGCUCAACCCCGUCGAGCCGUUGAAACUGGCAGA
rnacentral:rRNA from 1 species